AACGCACCUUGCACCCUUUGGUAUUCCGAAGGGUACGCCCGUUUGAGUGUCAUUGUAAUCUCACUACCAUCGACUUUGGUCUUUUCGGUAUGUGGACUUGGAUGCUGCCGUUGAUGUUGACGGCUCGUCUGAAAUGCCUGAGUGUACCCUGCUUUGCGGCGUAUUCGGUGUGAUACAUCUUCACCGGAGUUGAUCCUUGUGGUCGCGUCUGUAAUGGUGUGGCUCUAUGCUUCCAAUCGUCUCUUUGGUUAGACAAUCUCUGACAAUUUGACCUCAAAUCGGGUGGGACUACCCGCUGAACUUAA
rnacentral:misc_RNA from 1 species